rnacentral:rRNA from 1 species
GUGCUUAACACAUGCAAGUCGAACGGAAAGGCCCUGCUUUUGUGGGGUGCUCGAGUGGCGAACGGGUGAGUAACACGUGAGUAACCUGCCCUUGACUUUGGGAUAACUUCAGGAAACUGGGGCUAAUACCGGAUAGGAGCUCCUGCUGCAUGGUGGGGGUUGGAAAGUUUCGGCGGUUGGGGAUGGACUCGCGGCUUAUCAGCUUGUUGGUGGGGUAGUGGCUUACCAAGGCUUUGACGGGUAGCCGGCCUGAGAGGGUGACCGGCCACAUUGGGACUGAGAUACGGCCCAGACUCCUACGGGAGGCAGCAGUGGGGAAUAUUGCACAAUGGGCGGAAGCCUGAUGCAGCAACGCCGCGUGCGGGAUGACGGCCUUCGGGUUGUAAACCGCUUUCGCCUGUGACGAAGCGUGAGUGACGGUAAUGGGUAAAGAAGCACCGGCUAACUACGUGCCAGCAGCCGCGGUGAUACGUAGGGUGCGAGCGUUGUCCGGAUUUAUUGGGCGUAAAGGGCUCGUAGGUGGUUGAUCGCGUCGGAAGUGUAAUCUUGGGGCUUAACCCUGAGCGUGCUUUCGAUACGGGUUGACUUGAGGAAGGUAGGGGAGAAUGGAAUUCCUGGUGGAGCGGUGGAAUGCGCAGAUAUCAGGAGGAACACCAGUGGCGAAGGCGGUUCUCUGGGCCUUUCCUGACGCUGAGGAGCGAAAGCGUGGGGAGCGAACAGGCUUAGAUACCCUGGUAGUCCACGCUGUAAACGGUGGGUACUAGGUGUGGGGUCCAUUCCACGGGUUCCGUGCCGUAGCUAACGCUUUAAGUACCCCGCCUGGGGAGUACGGCCGCAAGGCUAAAACUCAAAGGAAUUGACGGGGCCCCGCACAAGCGGCGGAGCAUGCGGAUUAAUUCGAUGCAACGCGUAGAACCUUACCUGGGUUUGACAUGGAUCGGGAGUGCUCAGAGAUGGGUGUGCCUCUUUUGGGGUCGGUUCACAGGUGGUGCAUGGCUGUCGUCAGCUCGUGUCGUGAGAUGUUGGGUUAAGUCCCGCAACGAGCGCAACCCUUGUUCACUGUUGCCAGCACGUUAUGGUGGGGACUCAGUGGAGACCGCCGGGGUCAACUCGGAGGAAGGUGGGGAUGACGUCAAGUCAUCAUGCCCCUUAUGUCCAGGGCUUCACGCAUGCUACAAUGGCUGGUACAGAGAGUGGCGAGCCUGUGAGGGUGAGCGAAUCUCGGAAAGCCGGUCUCAGUUCGGAUUGGGGUCUGCAACUCGACCUCAUGAAGUCGGAGUCGCUAGUAAUCGCAGAUCAGCAACGCUGCGGUGAAUACGUUCCCGGGGCUUGUACACACCGCCCGUCAAGUCAUGAAAGUUGGUAACACCCGAAGCCGGCGGCCUAACCGUUGUGGGGGAGCCGUCGAAGGUGGGACUGGUGAUUAGGACUAAGUC